rnacentral:rRNA from 1 species
CACGUAGGGGCCAAGCGUUGUCCGGAUUUAUUGGGCGUAAAGAGCUCGUAGGCGGUUCGACAAGUCGGGUGUGAAAACUCCGGGCUCAACCCGGAGACGCCACCCGAUACUGUCGUGACUGGAGUCCGGUAGGGGAGUGGGGAAUUCCUGGUGUAGCGGUGAAAUGCGUAGAUAUGUGGAGGAACACCAGUGGCGAAGGCGACUCUCUGGUCUGUAACUGACGCUGAGGCGCGAAAGCGUGGGGAGCGAACAGG